CUGUCAUUGACUCGUGAGUGUAGAGAUUAAUCAGAUAGCUGGGUUAGUUGACAACGUCACGAAAAGGAUAUGGACACUUUAAUGGGGUAAUAAUCUCUUGUUGUGAUUAUGGAUGACCAGGUAGCUAGCUAUCAACAAUGACACGAAACUGCCAUGUGGGGAAUCGUAAGUGACUCGUCUCAGCUAGUUUCAUCUUGUUAUUUAAACAAUGUCUUGUUUUGAGGUGUUUUGACAGAUUUUUAUGGCAAAAAAAUCUGUAGCUAGCUACCAACAACUCCAAGCUGUAUUUGAGCGACAACAAGUGCUCAUUGUGUAAAUGUAUAUAUGUUUCCAAUAAACAUUGGAGAAAAAAUAUAGUUUAUAUUUUGUCAACAAUCUAAACCGGUUUUGUUGCUAAACAACCAAUCCCACUACUUCACAACAGUGGACGUGUCAUAAUACCCAUUUUUUUUUUUUUCACCAUUCAUUUUUCCAUUAGGGAUUUUAGAGCCACUUCAAACAAGGCUUGUGUUUCAUUGUAGGCUUUCCCCGGCGUGACGUUUUGAUAACUGUGUGAAUCUCUCCUGGACAAGAUCCUCUGCUCCUUCAGCCGGUGGAGGUCUAUAAUCCCUUUAAUCCCUUAGAAUUACUGCCAACUAUAUGAACAAGAUUCAAAGCCAGAUUAACUCUUUGCAGAAUGUAUCCAUAAUCAUGCAUUAAUAAGCCUAUUUAUUUGACAAGAAUGCACCUAAUCACCCAUCAAUCACGUCAAACGCUUGAACUCCAACAAUUACAUUGUUUUAAAGAAAUCACAACAGUUAACCAAUACAAUACAUACUGUAUGUCUUUUAUACAUCAAAUAUAAACAUCUAAUUUGAAGUAAACAAAUUAUUUAUUCAUCAAUGCCACAAACAUGGGACAUUGAAGAGCACCAUAUUAACUAUUAUUACUAUCUGAGAGCGCAGAGAUUUGUCUACUUUUCCUUUUUAGGAAUUAGACCAGCAGAAAUAACACAAUGUAAAACAGCAUGUAGUGAUUUUUAGUGGGUGAGUUACAAAAGGAGAAACUACUGGAUGUGUGAAGUAGAU